UAAAGUCGUAACAAGGUUUCCGUAGGUGAACCUGCGGAAGGAUCAUUG
rnacentral:rRNA from 1 species